rnacentral:rRNA from 1 species
GUCUGUGUGAAGUAAAUAUUAAGUCUGGCCUGCCCACUGAAAUUUUUAAAGGGCUGCGGUAAUUUGACCGUGCGAAGGUAGCAUAAUCAAUAGUCUUUUAAUUGAAGGCUUGAAUGAACGGUCUGACAAGAAAGUGACUGUCUUGGUGUCUAAGAAUGAAUUUAACAUUUAUGUGAAAAGGCAUAAAUAAACUAAGGGGACGAUAAGACCCUAUAAAAUUUUAUACUUAAAUUUCAUUCUUGAAAAUUAAAAUGUAAUUUAGGAAAGAUUUUGAGUAUUUUGCUGGGGAGGCAAGGAUAAAAUUAAGUAACUGUUCUUUAAAUUUAAUAAAAAUGUUUAGAAGUUGAUCCCCUAAUAGGGAUUAUAAGAUUAAGUUACUUUAGGGAUAACAGCGUGAUUUCUCUUGAGAGUCCUUAUCGACAGAGUUAGUUGCGACCUCGAUGUCGAAUUAAGCUUCCUCCAGGAGCAGAAGCUUGGAUGGGUAGGUCUGUUCGACCUUAACAGUUUUACCAUGAUUGA